ACGAACGCUGGCGGCGUGCCUAACACAUGCAAGUCGAACGGAGAUGUUUUGAAGGCUUGCUGAUAAGCAUCUUAGUGGCGCACGGGUGAGUAACACGUGGGCAACCUGCCCGGAAGUCUGGGAUAACAGUGCGAAAGUACUGCUAAUACCGGAUACCUUCACGAAGCUGCCUAGCUUUGUGAAGAAAGAUUAAUUGCUUCCGGAUGGGCCCGCGUCCCAUUAGCUAGUUGGUGAGGUAACGGCUCACAAGGCGACGAUGGGUAGCUG
rnacentral:rRNA from 1 species